rnacentral:rRNA from 1 species
CGGGUGCGAGCGUUAAUCGGAAUAACUGGGCGUAAAGGGCACGCAGGCGGUGACUUAAGUGAGAUGUGAAAGCCCCGGGCUUAACCUGGGAAUUGCAUUUCAUACUGGGUCGCUAGAGUACUUUAGGGAGGGUAGAAUUCCACGUGUAGCGGUGAAAUGCGUAGAGAUGUGGAGGAAUACCGAAGGCGAAGGCAGCCCUUGGGAAUGUACUGACGCUCAUGUGCGAAAGCGUGGGGAGCAAACAGGAUU